rnacentral:rRNA from 1 species
GAUGAACGCUGGCGGCGUGCCUAAUACAUGCAAGUCGAGCGAACAGACGAGGAGCUUGCUCCUCUAACGUUAGCGGCGGACGGGUGAGUAACACGCGGAUAACCUACCUAUAAGACUGGGAUAACUUCGGGAAACCGGAGCUAAUACCGGAUAAUAUAUUGAACCGCAUGGUUCAAUAGUGAAAGACGGUUUUGCUGUCACUUAUAGAUGGAUCCGCGCCGCAUUAGCUAGUUGGUAAGGUAACAGCUUACCAAGGCAACGAUGCGUAGCCGACCUGAGAGGGUGAUCGGCCACACUAGAACUGAGACACAGUCCAGACUCUUAGGGGAGGCAGCAGUAGGGAAUCUUCCGCGAUGGGCGAAAGCCUGACGGAGCAACGCCGCGUGAGUGAGGAAGGUCUUCGGAUCGUAAAACUCUGUUAUUAGGGAAGAACAAAUGUGUAAGUAACUAUGCACGUCUUGACGGUACCUAAUCAGAAAGCCACGGCUAACUACGUGCCAGCAGCCGCCGUAA